UGGGGGAUAUUGGGCAAUGGGGGAAACCCUGACCCAGCGACGCCGCGUGAGGGAAGAAGGUUUUCGGAUUGUAAACCUCUGUCUUUGGGGACGAAUAAAUGACGGUACCCAAGGAGGAAGCUCCGGCUAACUACGUGCCAGCAGCCGCGGUAAUACGUAGGGAGCAAGCGUUGUCCGGAAUUACUGGGUGUAAAGGGAGCGUAGGCGGGUAAUUAAGUUGAAUGUUAAACCUACAGGCUCAACCUGUAGUUGCGUUCAAAACUGAAUAUCUUGAGUGAAGUAGAGGCAGGCGGAAUUCCUAGUGUAGCGGUGAAAUGCGUAGAUAUUAGGAGGAACACCAGUGGCGAAGGCGGCCUGCUGGGCUUUUACUGACGCUGAGGCUCGAAAGUGUGGGGAGCAAACA
rnacentral:rRNA from 1 species